CCCCCGGUCGCCAGCGGCCAGCCUGCUGUGCACCCCCUCCUCGCGGGUUCGAAACAGUUGGGAGUUGGACCCACUCCAGCUUCGGCUCCAGGAGGCGCCUCCUGAGCGGUCUGCCCUCCUGGGGCCAUGGAGAAGGCCGCCCAUAAAAGCAAAAAAGGCAAAAACGUUGGCUUCAAUGUCAAGUCAUCCAUACACAACUUGAGCAAAACUCAGCAGACCAAACUCACUGUGGGCAACCUGGGCCUAGGCCUGAUCAUCAUCCAGAAUGGGCCCUACCUCCAGAUCACCCACCUCAUCAGGACGGGGGCUGCAGCCACGGAUGGAAAACUCCAGCCAGGUGAUGUUCUGAUUAGUGUUGGCCAUGCCAAUGUGUUAGGAUAUACUCUUCGAGAAUUUUUAAAACUUUUGCAACACAUCACCAUAGGAACAGUGCUACAAAUCAAGAUUUACCGAGAUUUUAUUGACAUACCCCAAGAAUGGCAAGAAAUAUAUGAUUUAAUCCCUGAGACCAAAUUCCCGGUAACACGCACAACAAAGAAAACUGAGCAGGCAAAAGACCCUUUGGCAAGCAGUGAUGACAGUGAAGAUGUAGUUUCAAUUAAAAAACUUAAGUAUUAUAAAUAUUCAAGGUCCAGUGGGCAUUACUCUGCAAGGAGACCAAUGUCUAUCUCCAGAGAAUGGCAUGGCUACAAAAAGAAGAACCGUACUAUUAGUGUAGGAAAAGGCAUUAAUGCUGAUGUGGUGAUUCACAAAGAUCCCAAGAGAGAAGUGAGGCCCCCUUCUCCAUACUGGACAAUGGUGAAGCGAGACAACCAAAGCUCUUCCUCAUCCACAGCCUCCUCUACCUCAGAUGCAUUUUGGCUAGAAGACUUUGCCCAAGUUGAAAAGGGCAGGGGUCAACCUGUAUCAAAAGUUGCUUAGGCAGCAGUCUGCAAACUGGUGAUCACAUGAGCAUCUAAUUUUUGUGCAUUGCUAUGCACAGGUUUGCUAUACUUACAGGAGGAAUAUGUGCAGACUUACCCAUUCUUUCACAAGUGCAUUCUGAUGCCGUCAGAGACAUUCUUCAAUGUGAUAAUCCAAAGACUUCCCUGGGGUCAGACAGGUCUCACCACCUUAUUCUCAAAAUAGCAACAUCAUUAACACACUCCCUUCUGAGAAGAACAUCUCAUCUUUUACAAAAUGUGGCAGAGGAACCCAGGACCAGAAUGUAUGAACAUAGAGAGAAUUUCAAUUUUUAAAGUGGAGCUGUUGGGGAGAAGAUGGUGGAGACCUCUACAAUGCAAGAGGAGUCGACAUUUUUCAUGUGGAAAAAACUGGGAAAACCCACUGAUUGUGGAUUUGUUCUGUAGUUCAUAUAUUUGUUAGGCAUAGUAGAGAGUACAAAAAGGUAUAAGAUACCGUCCUGGCCCUUAAAACAAUUCAGUCUCACAAUAAUAUAUGUGAAAAAAAAAAAAAAAAAAGCAAUAGCAGAAUGUCUCCUGAGAAGAUGAACAAAAAUCCUGAGAUCCUGGAUCGUGCGGGACUGGCACGACAGUUUAUUUCUUGGAAGGAGAACAAACACCGAACUCAAUUAGUAGGUUGAAUCACAUGAAAUUACCAAUAAUUCAACUCUUCUUGACCUCUAAGAAUUUAAAAUGGUUUAACCUAUUGGUAAUUUAGUUGAAUGAGGAAGAUACAUACACCCCAAGUUGAUGAGCCAUUUACAGACGUGAUGGUAAUGAGCCCUCCUACCUCCACACCAGGUGGACAGGCACCAAACAGCAGGACAGUGACAUAUAUAGCCCAAGGGAACUUAUGCAUUCCUUCUGAAAUUGGGUCGAGGUCAAAUUGUUUGAUGUUAAACCAUAAGUUUUCAUUUGCUUACAUUUACAACAUCUGUGUCUGCUACGGAGUCAAUCUGCUGAAGGACUGUGGCUGGUGGUGUGUAUGAACCAGCAACCAGAGCCUGGGACCCGACUUCAUCCAGGAACUCCUCAGAAGACUCCACUGACAUUAGGUAGCCAGCUUUCAGCUUGUUCCUGUCCAGUAAAAAAUAUGUAACUAAGCAGAAGCCAGUCUUAUAAGAGCGAGACAAUUUUAAACUCAAACUCAAACAUGUUUUGAAAGACUAAGAACCUUACAAGAAAAAUAUCAACUGUAUCAAAAUGGCAGAAAACAAACACAUUGACAUUAAAAACUGAAAUUCCAUUUUCUACAUGUUGCUGUACCUUAUAAAAACUGUGGGGCACUUAAGGAAAUACAUUUUCUGAAAUAAAUUAGAUUUGAAAUCAA